rfam:Zea mays cultivar B73 chromosome 9, whole genome shotgun sequence.
AUUUCUUGGUCUUUUGGCUAAGAUAAAGUGCAAUACUUGUUUUUAUAAAUUUAAUAUCUGAUAUGUGAAUCAUAUAUUUACUUUCAUAUUAAAUUUAUUUUUUAUAAAUAUCAAAUAUGAUUAUGUGACGUUGUGCAUUGUAACAGUAGGAACGUGGGAUCUAAUGAACGAGUACGCAACGCACGCUUCCCUGC